UAUCGGAACGUACCAUUCAGUGGGGGAUAACGUAGCGAAAGUUACGCUAAUACCGCAUAUUCUGUGCGCAGGAAAGCAGGGGAUCGCAAGACCUUGCGCUGAUUGAGCGGCCGAUAUCAGAUUAGCUAGUUGGUGGGGUAAAAGCUCACCAAGGCGACGAUCUGUAGCGGGUCUGAGAGGAUGAUCCGCCACACUGGAACUGAGACACGGUCCAGACUCCUACGGGAGGCAGCAGUGGGGAAUUUUGGACAAUGGGGGCAACCCUGAUCCAGCCAUGCCGCGUGAGUGAAGAAGGCCUUCGGGUUGUAAAGCUCUUUCGGCCGGGAAAAAAUCGCAUGGGUUAAUACCCUGUGUGGAUGAUGGUACCGGAAUAAGAAGCACCGGCUAACUACGUGCCAGCAGCCGCGGUAAUACGUAGGGUGCGAGCGUUAAUCGGAAUUACUGGGCGUAAAGCGUGCGCAGGCGGUUUUGUAAGACAGGCGUGAAAUCCCCGGGCUCAACCUGGGAACUGCGCUUGUGACUGCAAGGCUAGAGUAUGGCAGAGGGGGGUGGAAUUCCACGUGUAGCAGUGAAAUGCGUAGAGAUGUGGAGGAACACCAAUGGCGAAGGCAGCCCCCUGGGCCAAUACUGACGCUCAUGCACGAAAGCGUGGGUAGCAAACAGGAUUAGAUACCCUGGUAGUCCACGCCCUAAACGAUGUCAACUAGGUGUUGGGAGGGUAAAACCUUUUAGUACCGGAGCUAACGCGUGAAGUUGACCGCCUGGGGAGUACGGCCGCAAGGUUAAAACUCAAAGGAAUUGACGGGGACCCGCACAAGCGGUGGAUGAUGUGGAUUAAUUCGAUGCAACGCGAAAAACCCUACCUACCCUUGACAUGUCCAGGAGCCUGAAGAGAUUUGGGUGUGCCCGAAAGGGAACUGGAACACAGGUGCUGCAUGGCUGUCGUCAGCUCGUGUCGUGAGAUGUUGGGUUAAGUCCCGCAACGAGCGCAACCCUUGUCGUUAAUUGCCAUCAUUCAGUUGGGCACUUUAACGAGACUGCCGGUGACAAACCGGAGGAAGGUGGGGAUGACGUCAAGUCCUCAUGGCCCUUAUGGGUAGGGCUUCACACGUCAUACAAUGGUCGGUACAAAGGGUUGCCAACCCGCGAGGGGGAGCCAAUCCCAGAAAGCCGAUCGUAGUCCGGAUUGCAGGCUGCAACUCGCCUGCAUGAAGUCGGAAUCGCUAGUAAUCGUGGAUCAGCAUGUCACGGUGAAUACGUUCCCGGGUCUUGUACACACCGCCCGUCACACCAUGGGAGCGGGUUCCGCCAGAAGUAGGUAGCCUAACCGCAAGGGGGGCGCUUACCA
rnacentral:rRNA from 1 species